AAAAAUCUCCUUUUCAAAGAUAUAAGCUUAAACUGUAGAAAAGUUUUUUGUUGGAAUCCUUUUUUUUCAUUUUACAUUUUAAGAGGAAUUGUUUCCUCGUAGAGUAACAAGUAAAAGGGGUAGAUAGUAUUGAAAAAAAAAAGAGAACAACAAAAAAAAUAGAAUUGAAAUAAUCAGUAUUCGUGAUGCACACAUUGUUUUCUUGUAUUAGAUCGAAAGGUUCUUUCUGGAACUAGCUGCGAGGAUGGGAAUUUAUGAUAUGAAAAGACAAUUUCUAUUUCUAAUAAAUAUGGAAAAAAAAUGUAGAACCUAGAAAAGAAAGAAAAAAUUAUAGGAAUUACUAGUCUUAGAAUCGAGUUGGACAAAAAUAAAGAUUUGAUUUUCGUGAGUGAUUUGAUCAGUU
rnacentral:lncRNA from 1 species